GGAUCACCUCCUUACCUGAAGAUACCUUCCGGCGCAGUGUCCACACAGAUUGUCUGAUGAAAAAGUAACGAGCAGAAAAACCUCUACAGGCUUGUAGCUCAGGUGGUUAGAGCGCACCCCUGAUAAGGGUGAGGUCGGUGGUUCAAGUCCACUCAGGCCUACCAAAUUUCUUCUCAUGCUGCGUUAUGCACUCGGUCGUUUACUGUAGUAAACUUCCCUCCCGCAUGCCUUGCCUGAAAAGAAAUUGCAUUUUCACUUCUCAUAUAAAAGAAGAAAAAGCGUACCUGGUGGCGUAGAUGGUUUCUGUCAGACCGUAUGGGGCUAUAGCUCAGCUGGGAGAGCGCCUGCCUUGCACGCAGGAGGUCAGCGGUUCGAUCCCGCUUAGCUCCACCAUAUGGUUUUUCUGAAUUCAAUAUUUCAGAGUGUACUGGUUAACAGUAUGCUGCGAAGUAUUAUGCUCUUUAACAAUCCGGAACAAGCUGAAAAUUGAAACGACGUGUCGUGUUCAUUCUCCGUAAUAAGAAUGAAGUUAACGACAUGUUCGAGUCUCUCAAUGCCUGCAACUGACAGACGUCUUUCGGGACGCUUGUGGGUUGUGAGGUUAAGCGACUAAGCGUACACGGUGGAUGCCCAGGCAGUUAGAGGCGAUGAAGGGCGUGCUAAUCUGCGAUAAGCGUCGGUAAGGUGAUAUGAACCGCAACAACCGACGAUACCCGAAUGGGGAAACCCAGUGCAAUCC
rnacentral:misc_RNA from 1 species